rnacentral:rRNA from 1 species
AAAAUCCGCUGGUGAACUGAAACAUGAUAGUAUACUGAUCCCUUCGGGGUGAUGUAAUAGUGGCUCCAAGCAGACUUCCAAGAAAAACCUCUAAGCUUCAGGUAUAUACAGCCCGUACCAUAAACCGACACAGGUAGUCGAAGAGAAUAUCCUAAGGCGCUCGAGUGAGUCAUGGCUAAGGAACUAGGCAAAUUAGUCUCGUAACUUCGGGAAAAGAGACCCCCGUCGCAAGACGGGGCGCAGAGAAAUGGCCCAGGCGACUGUUUAGCAAAAACACAGGACUCUGCAAAAUCGUAAGAUGAAGUAUAGGGUCCGACACCUGCCCGGUGCUGGAAGGUUAAGGAAGGGGGUUAGCGCAAGCGAAGCUCUUGACUGAAGCCCCAGUAAACGGCGGCCGUAACGAUAACGGUCCUAAGGUAGCGAAAUUCCUUGUCGGGUAAGUUCCGACCUGCACGAAUGGUGUAACGAUCUGGGCACUGUCUCAGCCAUGAGCUCGGUGAAAUUGAAGUAUCGGUGAAGAUGCCGGUUACCCGCCACGGGACGAAAAGACCCCGUGCACCUUUACUAUAACUUCACAUUGUGCUUGAAUAUAAGAUGUGUAGGAUAGGUGGGAGACUAUGAAGUGGUCACGCUAGUGAUUGUGGAGUCGUCCUUGAAAUACCACCCUUCUUAUAUUUAGGUUCUAACCCUUGACAACAAGGGGACAGUGUGUGGUGGGUAGUUUGACUGGGGUGGUCGCCUCCUAAAAAGUAACGGAGGCUUGCAAAGGUGCCCUCAGCAUGGUUGGUAAUCAUGCGUAGAGCGUAUUAGUAUAAGGGCGCUUGACUGAGAGAACGACGGUUCGACCAGGUACGAAAGUAGGCUAAAGUGAUCCGGUAGUUCCGCAUGGAAGGGCUAUCGCUCAAAGGAUAAAAGGUACGCCGGGAUAACAGGCUGAUCUCACCCAAGAGCUCAUAUCGACGGUGAGGUUUGGCACCUCGAUGUCGGUUCGUCACAUCCUGGGGCUGGAGAAGGUCCCAAGGGUUGAGCUGUUCGCUCAUUAAAGUGGCACGUGAACUGGGUUCAGAACGUCGCAAGACAGUUCGGUCUCUAUCUGUGGUGGGCGUUGUAACAUUGAAGGGAACUGACUCUAGUACGAGAGGACCGAGUUGGACGUACCGCUAGUGUAUCUGUUGUGCCGCCAGGUGCAAUGCAGAGUAGCUACGUACGGAAUAGAUAA